rnacentral:rRNA from 1 species
UGGGGAAUAUUGCGCAAUGGGGGCAACCCUGACGCAGCAACGCCGCGUGCAGGAAGAAGGUCUUCGGAUUGUAAACUGUUGUCGCAGGGGAAGAAGACAGUGACGGUACCCUGUGAGAAAGUCACGGCUAACUACGUGCCAGCAGCCGCGGUAAUACGUAGGUGACAAGCGUUGUCCGGAUUUACUGGGUGUAAAGGGCGCGUAGGCGGGAUAGCAAGUCAGUCGUGAAAUGCCGAGGCUUAACCUCGGAGCUGCGAUUGAAACUGUUAUUCUUGAGUAUCGGAGAGGAAAGCGGAAUUCCUA